UACAGAGACUGCAAGCGUUAUUCGGAUUCACUGGGUUUAAAGGGUGCGUAGGUGGUCCGUUAAGUCAGUUGUGAAAUCCCCGGGCUCAACCCGGGAACUGCUUCUGAUACUGGCGGACUUGAGGCCAGUAGGGGUCACUAGAACUGACGGUGGAGCGGUGAAAUGCGUAGAUAUCGUCAGGAAUGCCGGUGGUGAAGACGGGUGACUGGGCUGGUUCUGACACUGAGGCACGAAAGCGUGGGGAGCGAACGGG
rnacentral:rRNA from 1 species